GACGAACGCUGGCGGCGUGCUUAACACAUGCAAGUCGAACGGAAAGGCCCUGCUUUUGUGGGGUGCUCGAGUGGCGAACGCGUGAGUAACACGUGAGUAACCUGCCCUUGACUUUGGGAUAACUUCAGGAAACUGGGGCUAAUACCGGAUAGGAGCUCCUGCUGCAUGGUGGUGGUUGGAAAGUUUCGGCCGUUGGGGAUGGACUCGCGGCUUAUCAGCUUGUUGGUGAGGUAGUGGCUUACCAAGGCUUUGACGGGUAGCCGGCCUGAGAGGGUUGCCGGCCACAUUGGGACUGAGAUACGGACCAGACUCCUACGGGAGGCAGCAGGGGGGAAUAUUGCAGAAUGGGCGGAAGCCUGAUGCAGCAACGCCGCGUGCGGGAUGACGGCCUUCGGGUUGUAAACCGCUUUCGCCUGUGACGAAGCGUGAGUGACGGUAAUGGGUAAAGAAGCACCGGCUAACUACGUG
rnacentral:rRNA from 1 species